rnacentral:misc_RNA from 1 species
CAACCCUCAAGCCCCCAGGGGCCUGGUGUUGGGGGACGGCGACCGCACUGCCCUGGCGCAGCGCCCGCCGCCCCCGAAAUGAAUUGGCGGUCUCGCCGUGGCCUCCUCUGCGUAGUAGCACAACCUCGCAACAGGAGCCCGGCGCGUCCACUGCCGUAAAACGCCCCAACUUUUCUCAG